UAACCCGGAAGAAUGCAGCGCAACACGUUUAAAUUGUAAUGAGCGGUCAGCUGACGUUCAAUUUCAUCUGAUUCUACAUAACAGCAAAAUCAUAACGUUAACAUGGACAUGUUACAGUAUUUAUAAACGAAACAAAUACAGUCAUGGAAAAGGUAGAGACAGACGAGGAGAUCUUAGCCAAGCAACAUCGCAAGGAGAAGAAGGACCUGCAAGGUUGAUAAUUAAAUCUAAAAUCCAGAGCUUGAAAAAUGCUGUCCCCAAAAAUGACAAGAAGAGGUGUAAACAGCUGACAGAAUAUUACCAAGCUGGAGGCUGGGCUGAAUCAGAAACGAGGAACAACUAGACUCAUCAUGAGGAGGAGGAGCAGACGAAAAGGCUCCUGUGGUGGAGGAGUUCUUCAUGGAGGAUUUCCUGUAUCUGUCAGCUGUGGUAAUAAACUUUGGUGAGACUCCAGGAGAAGAAGAGAGAAUCCAAAGUUUAGUGUGUAUGUAUAGGUUAAGAGAAUAUUAUAAAAGGGACAUUUUUGUAUUUGCACAGCAGAGCUCUCGUAAAUAAACCCUCUGUCUGAUUUCAAU